AUGGAGUUCCGCUUCCGCGCCGGGGACCGCGGGCCGCCCGGCCCCGGAGGCUCCCCGCAGGCACGGUCCUCCCACCCCCGCGACGGCUACACCGGUGCCGGUGCGCAGGGCACGCAAGCAGGGCCUUCGCCUUCGCCUUCGCCUUUGCCGCGGCCGCCGCUCGACUGGGAGGCGGCGCGGCGGGAGCACCUCAUCCGCGAGGAGGUGAGGCGGCGGCUCGUCGAGGAGGAGGUGCGCCGCGAGUUCGAGGCCAAGGGCGACCUCGCCUUCGCGCGCGGCCUCCACGGGGGCUGCUGGGGGCCCGACCCGUUCCUCGCCCUCGGCUGCUUCAUGCCGCCGCCGCACGCGCCGAUGCCGAUGCCGAUGCGCCCGCCCCCGUACGCGCCGCCGCCGCCGCCGGUGCCUUUCGACGAGUUUGGUGCCUGGCAGGGGUUUGGGCCUCGCCGGCACGCGGGAUUUGGGGAGAGGAUGCCGUUCCCCUGUGAGGAGAGGGGGUGGUCUCCGCCGCCGCGGAAGCCGAAGCAUAAGCUCAAGCUGGUUGAGAUCGAGCCCUCCGGGACACCCGAGGCUCUUUCGCCAAGAUUGAAGGUUCCAAGGAUGAAGAGGAAACCAGAUGCAAAUGCUGCAGCUACUGUACCAAAGAAAGUACAGAAACUAGCCAAGGACUGGAGCUGUGCACUAUGCCAGGUUAGUGCAACAUGUGAAGCUGGUCUAAAUGAGCAUCUCGGAGGAAGAAAACAUAAGGCCAAGUUGGCCCUGUGUGGCGCCAGCAAGGCUAUCAAAGAUGACAAAAACUGCUCGCAGACGACCACUGGGAAUAAGAACAGCACAGAUCCUUGUGAUGCACAUAAGAAAGUACACAUGCUAGUAGACGGUGAAAUGCAUGAAGUUGUUCAGAAGAACAACUAUCUGUGGUGUGAUCGCUGCAGAGUCAGGUGUGAUAGCAACGUCAUCAUGGCUGGUCAUCUGAGGAGCAAGAAGCACAGUAAAUUAAACAAGGUUUGGACAUCGAUAAAGGCUGUGAGGACAAAUACCGAUACUAAGGAAGGUUUGUCUUCUUAUGGAAGUCAGGUAAAUACAAACCACUCUACUGAAACUCCAGCGGUAAUUGAAGACGACAUAAAUAUGACCAGUGAAGUAGAUGAAAGUAACCCUGUAGAAAAUCCAGCCAGGAAAGAAAUCACAAGCAUCACCACCGAAGUAGAAAUUCCAGUGGUAAUUGAAGGCGACAUAAAUAUGACCAGUGAAGUCGAUGAAAGCAGCCCUGUAGAAAAUCCAGCCGGGAAAGAAAUCACAAGCAUCGCCACCGAAGUAGAAAGUAUAGCCAUGGCUACCGAAGUACAUGAAAAUAACCCUGUGGAAACUCCAGUUGAAACAAAGAAGGAAAGCACAGAGAUGACAAAUGAUGUGUGA
rnacentral:rRNA from 1 species